rnacentral:rRNA from 1 species
GGACGAACGCUGGCGGCGUGCUUAACACAUGCAAGUCGAACGGAAAGGCCCUGCUUGCAGGGUACUCGAGUGGCGAACGGGUGAGUAACACGUGGGUGAUCUGCCCUGCACUUCGGGAUAAGCCUGGGAAACUGGGUCUAAUACCGGAUAGGAGCCAUUUUUAGUGUGAUGGUUGGAAAGUUUUUUCGGUGUAGGAUGAGCUCGCGGCCUAUCAGCUUGUUGGUGGGGUAAUGGCCUACCAAGGCGGCGACGGGUAGCCGGCCUGAGAGGGUGGACGGCCACAUUGGGACUGAGAUACGGCCCAGACUCCUACGGGAGGCAGCAGUGGGGAAUAUUGCACAAUGGGCGCAAGCCUGAUGCAGCGACGCCGCGUGGGGGAUGACGGCCUUCGGGUUGUAAACUCCUUUCGCUAGGGACGAAGCUUUUUGUGACGGUACCUAGAUAAGAAGCACCGGCUAACUACGUG